UACGUAGGGGGCGAGCGUUGUCCGGAUUUAUUGGGCGUAAAGAGCGUGUAGGCGGCCAGGUAGGUCUGCUGUGAAAACUCGAGGCUCAACCUCGAGACGUCGGUGGAAGCCAUCUGGCUAGAGUCCGGAAGAGGCGAGUGGAACUCCUGGUGUAGCGGUGGAAUGCGCAGAUAUCAGGAAGAACACCAACGGCGAAGGCAGCUCGCUGGGACGGUACUGACGCUGAGACGCGAAAGCGUGGGGAGCGAACAGG
rnacentral:rRNA from 1 species